rnacentral:tRNA from 1 species
UCAGAAAUAGUUUACAUAAAAUUUUAAAUUUGGAAUUUAAAGAAGAUUCUUUCUUUCUGAC